CCGGCGAUGUCCGAAUGGGGAAACCCAGUGCAAUUCGUUGCACUAUCGUUAACUGAAUACAUAGGUUAACGAGGCGAACCGGGGGAACUGAAACAUCUAAGUACCCCGAGGAAAAGAAAUCAACCGAGAUUCCCCCAGUAGCGGCGAGCGAACGGGGAGCAGCCCAGAGUCUGAAUCAGCUUGUGUGUUAGUGGAACGGUCUGGAAAGUCCGACGGUACAGGGUGAUAGUCCCGUACACCAAAAUGCACAGGCUGUGAACUCGAAGAGUAGGGCGGGACACGUGGUAUCCUGUCUGAAUAUGGGGGGACCAUCCUCCAAGGCUAAAUACUCCUGACUGACCGAUAGUGAACCAGUACCGUGAGGGAAAGGCGAAAAGAACCCCGGCGAGGGGAGUGAAAAAGAACCUGAAACCGUGUACGUACAAGCAGUGGGAGCACCUUCGGGUGUGACUGCGUACCUUUUGUAUAAUGGGUCAGCGACUUAUAUUCUGUAGCAAGGUUAACCGUAUAGGGGAGCCGCAGGGAAACCGAGUCUUAACUGGGCGUUAAGUUGCAGGGUAUAGACCCGAAACCCGGUGAUCUAGCCAUGGGCAGGUUGAAGGUUGGGUAACACUAACUGGAGGACCGAACCGACUAAUGUUGAAAAAUUAGCGGAUGACUUGUGGCUGGGGGUGAAAGGCCAAUCAAACCGGGAGAUAGCUGGUUCUCCCCGAAAGCUAUUUAGGUAGCGCCUCGUGAAUUCAUCUUCGGGGGUAGAGCACUGUUUCGGCUAGGGGGUCAUCCCGACUUACCAACCCGAUGCAAACUACGAAUACCGAAGAAUGUUAUCACGGGAGACACACGGCGGGUGCUAACGUCCGUCGUGAAGAGGGAAACAACCCAGACCGCCAGCUAAGGUCCCAAAGUCAUGGUUAAGUGGGAAACGAUGUGGGAAGGCACAGACAGCCAGGAUGUUGGCUUAGAAGCAGCCAUCAUUUAAAGAAAGCGUAAUAGCUCACUGGUCGAGUCGGCCUGCGCGGAAGAUGUAACGGGGCUAAACCAUGCACCGAAGCUGCGGCAGCGACACUAUGUGUUGUUGGGUAGGGGAGCGUUCUGUAAGCCUGCGAAGGUGUGCUGUGAGGCAUGCUGGAGGUAUCAGAAGUGCGAAUGCUGACAUAAGUAACGAUAAAGCGGGUGAAAAGCCCGCUCGCCGGAAGACCAAGGGUUCCUGUCCAACGUUAAUCGGGGCAGGGUGAGUCGACCCCUAAGGCGAGGCCGAAAGGCGUAGUCGAUGGGAAACAGGUUAAUAUUCCUGUACUUGGUGUUACUGCGAAGGGGGGACGGAGAAGGCUAUGUUAGCCGGGCGACGGUUGUCCCGGUUUAAGCAUGUAGGCUGGUUGUCCAGGCAAAUCCGGAUAAUCAAGGCUGAGGUGUGAUGACGAGGCACUACGGUGCUGAAGUAACAAAUGCCCUGCUUCCAGGAAAAGCCUCUAAGCAUCAGGUAACAUCAAAUCGUACCCCAAACCGACACAGGUGGUCAGGUAGAGAAUACCAAGGCGCUUGAGAGAACUCGGGUGAAGGAACUAGGCAAAAUGGUGCCGUAACUUCGGGAGAAGGCACGCUGGUGUGUAGGUGAAGUCCCUGCGGAUGGAGCUGAGACCAGUCGAAGAUACCAGCUGGCUGCAACUGUUUAUUAAAAACACAGCACUGUGCAAACACGAAAGUGGACGUAUACGGUGUGACGCCUGCCCGGUGCCGGAAGGUUAAUUGAUGGGGUUAUCCGUAAGGAGAAGCUCUUGAUCGAAGCCCCGGUAAACGGCGGCCGUAACUAUAACGGUCCUAAGGUAGCGAAAUUCCUUGUCGGGUAAGUUCCGACCUGCACGAAUGGCGUAAUGAUGGCCAGGCUGUCUCCACCCGAGACUCAGUGAAAUUGAACUCGCUGUGAAGAUGCAGUGUACCCGCGGCAAGACGGAAAGACCCCGUGAACCUUUACUAUAGCUUGACACUGAACAUUGAGCCUUGAUGUGUAGGAUAGGUGGGAGGCUUUGAAGCGUGGACGCCAGUCUGCGUGGAGCCAACCUUGAAAUACCACCCUUUAAUGUUUGAUGUUCUAACGUUGGCCCCUGACCGGGGUUGCGGACAGUGUCUGGUGGGUAGUUUGACUGGGGCGGUCUCCUCCCAAAGCGUAACGGAGGAGCACGAAGGUUAGCUAAUCCUGGUCGGACAUCAGGAGGUUAGUGCAAUGGCAUAAGCUAGCUUGACUGCGAGCGUGACGGCGCGAGCAGGUGCGAAAGCAGGUCAUAGUGAUCCGGUGGUUCUGAAUGGAAGGGCCAUCGCUCAACGGAUAAAAGGUACUCCGGGGAUAACAGGCUGAUACCGCCCAAGAGUUCAUAUCGACGGCGGUGUUUGGCACCUCGAUGUCGGCUCAUCACAUCCUGGGGCUGAAGUAGGUCCCAAGGGUAUGGCUGUUCGCCAUUUAAAGUGGUACGCGAGCUGGGUUUAGAACGUCGUGAGACAGUUCGGUCCCUAUCUGCCGUGGGCGCUGGAGAAUUGAGGGGGGCUGCUCCUAGUACGAGAGGACCGGAGUGGACGCAUCACUGGUGUUCGGGUUGUCAUGCCAAUGGCACUGCCCGGUAGCUAAAUGCGGAAGAGAUAAGUGCUGAAAGCAUCUAAGCACGAAACUUGCCCCGAGAUGAGUUCUCCCUGAGACUUUAAGUCUCCUGAAGGAACGUUGAAGACGACGACGUUGAUAGGCCGGGUGUGUAAGCGCAGCGAUGCGUUGAGCUAACCGGUACUAAUGAACCGUGAGGCUUAACCUUACAACGCCGAAG
rnacentral:rRNA from 1 species